CAUAAAAGAGGAGAGCCAGAGCUGGAGUUUGAGAAUUUGAAGAAAGAUGAUGAUAUCUGUUUGUUAAAAUUCAGUUUCUCCACCUGAUGCUAAAUAAACAAGGCAACAGGUGGUAGCUCUCCCAGGUCACAGAAAUCAUCUGCUACAGCAGUCAAUACUCAGCUUGUGUCUCUAGUGCCUCCAGUGCAUCUCGUGGAGCCUGGCAGUAGCUCCCCUUACAUCUGCUGUUUGUGAGGCAGGCAGAGAGCCCAUCACAGAGGGAGAGCAACGCCAGGCACAGGAGUCACGCUUGCCUCCACUUCUGUUACAGCCAAGGAGGAUGAGAAACAUGCUCUUUCCCCUCAGGCAGCCAGAG